AUUUUCUGCAGCUUCUAACUCCCACCCAUGUGAACUUACCUUUUGUUGCCUCGGCAGAAGUUAUAGGUCUUCUUAUAGCUGCUGCCGGUGGACCAUUAAACUCUUGUUAUUUUAUGUAAUCUGAGCGUCUUAUUUUAAUAAGUCAAAACUUUCAACAACGGAUCUCUUGGUUCUGGCAUCGAUGAAGAACGCAGCGAAAUGCGAUAAGUAAUGUGAAUUGCAGAAUUCAGUGAAUCAUCGAAUCUUUGAACGCACAUUGCGCCCAUUAGUAUUCUAGUGGGCAUGCCUGUUCGAGCGUCAUUUCAACCCUUAAGCCUAGCUUAGUGUUGGGAAUCUACUUCUCUUAGGAGUUGUAGUUCCUGAAAUACAACGGCGGAUUUGUAGUAUCCUCUGAGCGUAGUAAUUUUUUUCUCGCUUUUGUUAGGUGCUAUGACUCCCAGCCGCUAAACCCCCAAUUUUUUGUGGUUGACCUCGGAUCAGGUAGGAAUACCCGCUGAACUUAAGCAUAUCAAUAAGCGGAAGAAGAA
rnacentral:rRNA from 1 species